rnacentral:rRNA from 1 species
AUUGAACGCUGGCGGCAUGCUUUACACAUGCAAGUCGAACGGGGUGAGGGGGCAACUCCUCAUUCAGUGGCGAACGGGUGAGUAAUGCAUCGGAACGUGUCCCGUAGUGGGGGAUAACCCGGCGAAAGCCGGACUAAUACCGCAUAUGCUCUACGGAGGAAAGUGGGGGACCGCAAGGCCUCACGCUAUGGGAGCGGCCGAUGUCCGAUUAGCUUGUUGGUGGGGUAAUGGCC